rnacentral:misc_RNA from 1 species
AAUUGUAGUAGGAAGGUUAUUUCUUACAGGUUCAUGGCUUUCUUCCAUUUGUAUGUCUUGAGGGAACGCAAUUGGGGCUGAUUCAGAUGAGUCUCCAAGCCCUUCCUCGGUCCCAUUCUCAAUGGCAGCUCUUGAUGCUGCUUCUUGCUGCCACAUCUCUGAAAGUGCUUCCUGCAGCCUGACUUUAGCUGCAUCUAUCCCUACAAUUGGGAGAGGAUAAUUUGAUCCGAGCUCAAUUCCGGCAGCUUGGAGCACAGAUUCAGGUGCAUUCCAUGGAUGGUGUAUCCAUUCAGUUGGUAGCCUGGCAAGUUCUGGAAGCCAACGUCGUACAUAUUCUCCAUUUGGAUCAAAUUUGUAACCCUCAAACUGGGGAUUGUCUAUACGAUCAAACUCACGACCAUCAGGGAGAGUGCCAGAUAUGUACUGCCAACCAAGAGCAUCACUCUCUAAAUCAGCAUCCAAGAGGGUAUCCCAGAAAUACUUCAUUCCCCACCUCCAAGGAAGCUGUAGAACCUUCACAAAGAAACUAGAAACUACUACUCUUAUUCGAUCAUGCAGCCAACCAGUGGCCCACAACUCUCUCAUUCCUGCAUCAACUAAUGGAUAACCAGUUCUACCUUGUCUCCAAGCCUUGAAAUAGCCUUCAUCUACAACCCAAGGGAAAAAUUUAAGGUGACCAAGAAGAGGCCGUUCAUGACUGUAAGGAUGGUUAAAACUCAGGUAUCUUGAAUAUUCUCUCAAACCAAUUGACUUAAGAAACAAGUUUACACUCUCUUCACCAGCCUUGUUCCCUUCAUUUGCCCAAAGAACCUGCUUGAUGCGAACAAGGUGAAGGACCUUUCUGACACUAACCUCUCCAAAAUGCAAAUGGGGAGAAAGAAAGGAGGUUGUGGCACUGUCAGCCUUCCUACAAUUCUUAGAGUAUUCAAUUAGUGGUCCAUUGACAAAUGUGGUCAAAGCCUUAUCAGCAUUGCUCCACCCAGGUGACCAUGCUCGAGCAAGCAGUGCAUUACUUCCCCUUUCUGAUUCAUCUUCAAAUAUCAAUAAGUCUGAAGGGCAUCUCGAUAUAUCACCUGGGAUAAUCCUUUUAGGUGGGAGAAGUGGAGCCUCUGGAUCAUAAGGCAUGCUAAG